ensembl:lncRNA
UUCCAAUUUAACAAAUGAAGCCUGAAUCUGACUGCUUCUUCCCAUCUCUUGUUCUAAUUUGCUGAAUAUCCCUCAUGGACAGAGGAGAGGUGCUCCAGUCCUCUGAGCAUCUACAUGUCCUCCGCUGGAACUGCUCCAACAGCUGUACAUUUUUCAUGUGGGACAGACCCCAGACCUGGACAGAGAACACCAGAUGGGGCAUCAUGAUGGUAGAGCAAAGGGGGACAGUCACCUCCUCUCCCUGCUGACCACCCCUCUGUUCGUGCAGCCCAGAAUACCGUUGGCCUUCCAGACUGCAAGCACACACAGCUGGCUCAUGUUCGCCUUUUCAUCCACCAGGACCCCCAAGAGCUUAUUUGUAGCACUGCUCAAGAGGAAUUCUUCUUCCACUCUGUACACAGAUCUGGGAUUUCUGUUCCCCAAGAGCAACAUCUUGCAUACCCAGAGAAGAAAAGCAGCAUGCACAAGGUCAAAGAAACCCCAUCUGUAUUUCUCCUUUCCUCCUAAGUCAUGUACC